GGGGACGCAACGGUUUCGACGGGGAUAUUAAGGUCCCGGGAGCGAGUAGCGGUGCGGUGCCGCUAUAAAAGCCGCAAUUUUUAAAUUUAAACGCUAACACUGAAUUAGCUGCUGCCUAAUUAAUGGCAGCUGUCCUACCCUGAAGGACUGCGGUCGGGGAUAGGGCAUCAUUUUGCAGUGAACAUGAGUCGGUUAAGCUUUGCGCCGACCAGGUAUUAAUGAAGCUACCGAAGCUGUCAGCUUGCUUGUGAGCUGACAGUGGGGGGAAUCCUGAUCACAAGCUGCACUCGGAGAGCCUGAGGCUGCGAUAUUUUCGGACAGGAGUUCGAUUCUCCUCGUCUCCACCA
rnacentral:tmRNA from 1 species